AGCAAAGGGGGAGUGACCAACUCCAUAUUAAUGGCCAUGAUUUUGGAAUGAGAUGUUUGACGAACAGGUGUCCACAUACUUUUGGUCAUGUAGUGUAUCUUUCCACCAUCGCAUUUUAAGAGGUGUUUUGUUUUACAUCUUGUCUAAUUAUUUUCAAACAUGACGUGAACUUAACUGGUUAUUGAAGUAACUGAAUAAUUUAACAUUAUGACUUGAAGAGAACCACCUAAGAAACAGACAACUGAGAUGAUUCCUCUUGAAACUUUCAAAAAUGUGUUGCAACAGCACAUCCAUACAGUUUUUCCCUACCACACAGACUUUAUAGUUCAUGCCAUGGAAAUGCAAUCAACUGUGGCUUAGAUCUUGACUACAAAGGAAAGGGUACCCAAGCAUCAGCAGCUCAUUUCAACUGAAUAUGAUGCAAUGACUCUUCUUGAUGUAGAUGCUUGUGGUUUGAAUCAUCCACAUAUCAAAUAUAACUGCAACCAUCUUCCAGGAGCUUUCAUUGUGGGUGGCAUUAUAUGGCACCAUAUUUGUAUAAUAUUUCAACAAAAUUAAAUGUAUGGAUGAUGCACGUGGGAGGAGUCAGGUGACACGGUUUAGGGUGAGGGCUGGGUGAGGGUGACAACUUUGCCCAGUCACAGUGGAGACUGACUCUCCAGUUUGGGUGCGGACCAAGGGUGUUUGAUUGGUCGGGUUGAGCCUAAAGAUAAAGACGUUAGCAGGCCUAUCUGGGCGGCACCAGACUAUGGGCUAGGGAAAUAGAUUUCCGUGAAUUUUACAUCGCAUUAUUUUCUGUGGCCAGGCAGACAUGAAUGAGCACGAGGACAUGCAUUUAUUUGAGUGUUGAAUGAUUUUUACAAAAUGUAGUAAUACACAUUGCUUUACUCUGUAGGGAUUGUUUGACAUUUCACAUGUGAUAAGUGAAAUUAAAUUAGCUAUUAACACAAUUAAUUAUCAGAUGCAAGUAUUGGAAAAAUAAAAAAUGACCUAAAAUAUCCCCAAAAGAAAAUGAUCAUGCAGGUCUCUUGGGUAAUAAGCCUGAUGCAGUGAAUUUUGUAGUGUAGUAACUUGAAGGAAAGUGGUUCUCCACUCCAUGCAUAAGUACCAGCCCCGCCUGCACAUUGUCCUGUCUCCAGACCCCCACAGCCCCCUGCGCUUCACCUUCCCUGAGGCAGCCUUCAUCGCUGUCACUGCCUACCAGAACUCAGAGAUAACAAAACUCAAGAUAGACAACAACCCCUUUGCAAAAGGCUUUUGUGACAACGGGCUGAACAGAAAAAAGUUCAGAGAAAAGGAAGGACAGAGCUCUGACAAACUAAAUUAAGAUCCAGACCAGUGGAGUCAAAUGAUGAGGUUGAUGUUACCGUCUCCUGCUCUAGCUCAGUGGAUUCCCAUGGUGCAGUAGGAUACAGGACUGAUGACAUCACAUCUCUCUCUGCUGUCCCUGACCCAUUCAUCUCUGCCUUCAUGAACUGGGGAGAUGCAGCUGCAACCCUGCCCUGUGGCCAAGAGUGAUGGAGGGUCCCGGACCAAAGGACCCACAACAACCACAAACACAACACACUUCGUACCUGGGCCUAUGACCGCCCUGGGCAGCAUAAGGAGGCCAGGAUACUGGUUUACAAAAUGUUGCCUCUCCUCUCUUCCUCACACACCCUCCACUGGGCCAGACUCAGUUGGCUUCAGGAGGCCCCUGGCACAGAGCAGCAGACCAGUGGGGCCUCACCCACCUCACCACAGAAGACCUGGUGCCACACCUCUCCCACAGCCACACAGCAGACCACUACCAGGUCCACCCCUGUGAGUGCGUUGACGGACACAGGGAGCUCAGCUAAUAGGCGGUUCACCUCGCCGGUCACACGGCCACCGUCCCCGCUCAGGAUGACGAUCUCAUUGGUCCGGGCCAGGGGUGCCGCAACCUUGGCAGCAAUCUGUACCAACACAAUGACACAAACCUUCUUCACCUGGGUGUUCUUCAGAGAGAACUCAUCUAACACAGCCUCUAGUUGUCAUGUUUAAACCAAAUCAAAUGAUAAGUUGCAAUAAAAAUAAAAAAACAUUUAUAUAU